CAUGGGUAACCCUGAGCCCCGAGGAGUCGAGGUAAAGGCUCUCAGAGCCCUAAGCCUGAGACCCGCAGCCUUUCCCCACACCCUUUCCUCCCACCCAGAAUGCCUGUCACUCUGUCUGGCAAGGCAGCCAUUUAAAAAUGUCAAAUUAUUUGACUCCAGUUCCCUCAAGGGGUUCUCGGAAUGGAAACAACAUUGAGCAGGGAACUCGCACAUCUUUUUUUUUUUUUUUUAAGUCAUCUCUAUGCCCAAUGUGGGGCUUGAACUCACAACCCCGAGAUCAAGAGUUGCAUGGCUCCACCAACUGAGCCACCCAGGAGCCGCGGCUCCAACUUCUUAAUUGCUUGCCGGUGAAACAAAGAUGAGACAAGAUGGCAGAAAGGGGCGCAGGGGAGUUGCUGUGCACAUCCCACCCACCACCUUCCAACUCACCGUGCCGGGCGAUGACGUCAACAUCAACCACCGCACAACCCAGCUGCUGGAACACCUGGAUCACCGAGCUCUUGCCUGAGGCGAUGCCCCCUGUCAGGCCCACCAGGAACAUCUUCCCAGGAAAGAGGAGGCCAGCGAGAAUGCAGAGCCGGGAGGCGGGGAAUUACCGGAGUAGGGUACGCUUGGCUGGCUGGGAUGGCCCACCCCAGGAACACCAGAACGACCUGCCCUGCCUGUGGACGACACCAGGCCUGAUAAGUGUCAUGCCCGAAUGACCCGGGGAGAGGGAGGCACAGGAAGGGAAGGGAGACGCAGCCUGCCCACGCAGAGUGUGGAGUUCUGAGCUUAGGGAACUCUGGAUCCAUCCGAAGAUGGAAAAUUCUCUCAGGACAGGCCUCCAGUAGUCUUUAGAAAACACUCAUAAACAAGGCAAACAACACGGUAUAAAUUUAGCAAUCAAAAUGCCGAGUAGGCAGAACAAGGUCAGGUGCUGCAACGCAGAGUGCUUUCUGGAGGCGGGGGUACCCGCUAUAGGCGAACUUCCCAUAAGAAGGGCACACCUGUCCCUCCGUAGUGAACCCAAGGCACUUUCCAGAUGCCCACAGAGCUCCCCUGUCUCUGCCACUUUAUAGUCUGGGGCACUGAGGCUCACAGGGAAGAAUGUCCUCCCACCCCCCACCCCCCCCAACCCCCCCCCCCAACCUCCAGCACCAACACUAAGACCGUCUAGGUGGCUAGUUUAGACAGAAGAAUCCUUCCUCUUCAACCAACAAGUGGCCCAGACGGGAGAGCUCAGCGGAAGCAGUGGCUGGUGGUGAUUAGGCCUGAGGUUUAGAGGAGUAUGGAUCUUGCCCAGGAGGAAUGUGAGGGAAGGAUGACAGGCUGCGGGAGAGAACUUGGCGUUGGAAUUUGCGGCUCUCUCAGACUGA